GGCAAAUCUAUCUCAUAACUUUAUUGUUCUUCCAUUUUGUCAUAUCGGUGGGAAAAAAAAAAAAAAAAAAAAGGGCUUUGAACAAUUGGCUUAGGAUUCAAGAGGAACAAGAAAAUUCGUUCUGUUUUCGAGUUUUUGGAACUGUUAUAAACCCAUUCUUCAUCCCAUCGGUUUCAUCGUUUUAGGGGGUUGGGACUGAAAAGUAGUGAGAGACAUGCCUCCUCAGUCUUCAGGUUUACUUCGAACUUUGGAAAUUUUGAUGGCAUGAGUGGAGUCGAAAAAAAA